rnacentral:rRNA from 1 species
GACGAACGCUGGCGGCGUGCUUAACACAUGCAAGUCGAGCGGUAAGGCCCUUUCGGGGGUACACGAGCGGCGAACGGGUGAGUAACACGUGGGUGACCUGCCCUCAGCUCUGGGGAUAAGCCCGGGAAACUAGGGUCUAAUACCGGAUAUGACUCCAUGACGCAUGUUGUGGGGUGGAAAGCCUUGUGCGGCUGAGGAUGGGCCCGCGGCCUAUCAGCUUGUUGGUGGGGUGAUGGCCUACCAAGGCGACGACGGGUAGCCGGCCUGAGAGGGCGACCGGCCACACUGGGACUGAGAUACGGCCCAGACUCCUACGGGAGGCAGCAGGUGGGGAAUCUUGCGCAAUGGGCG